UUGAUGGUAAAAAAAAAUCCG
rnacentral:piRNA from 1 species